AAAAAAAUAUAAAAAAAAGUAGCUGAAGAAGAAUUUGGAAUUGCAAAGGGGAGUCAAAGUUUUUUUUUGUUUUUUUCUUUUCUU
rnacentral:ribozyme from 1 species